CCUACGGGGGCAGCAGUGGGGAAUAUUGCACAAUGGGGGAAACCCUGAUGCAGCAACGCCGCGUGAGUGAAGAAGUAUUUCGGUAUGUAAAGCUCUAUCAGCAGGGAAGAAGAAAGACGGUACCUGACUAAGAAGCCCCGGCUAACUACGUGCCAGCAGCCGCGGUAAUACGUAGGGGGCAAGCGUUAUCCGGAUUUACUGGGUGUAAAGGGAGCGUAGACGGCAGUGCAAGUCUGAAGUGAAAGGCGGGGGCCCAACCCCCGGACUGCUUUGGAAACUGUGCUGUUGGAGUGCAGGAGAGGCAA
rnacentral:rRNA from 1 species